rnacentral:rRNA from 1 species
AAACCAACUGGGAUUACCUUAGUAACGGCGAGUGAAGCGGUAAAAGCUCAAAUUUGAAAUCUGGUACUUUCAGUGCCCGAGUUGUAAUUUGUAGAAUUUGUCUUUGAUUAGGUCCUUGUCUAUGUUCCUUGGAACAGGACGUCAUAGAGGGUGAGAAUCCCGUUUGGCGAGGAUACCUUUUCUCUGUAAGACUUUUUCGAAGAGUCGAGUUGUUUGGGAAUGCAGCUCAAAGUGGGUGGUAAAUUCCAUCUAAAGCUAAAUAUUGGCGAGAGACCGAUAGCGAACAAGUACAGUGAUGGAAAGAUGAAAAGAACUUUGAAAAGAGAGUGAAAAAGUACGUGAAAUUGUUGAAAGGGAAGGGCAUUUGAUCAGACAUGGUGUUUUUUGCAUGCACUCGCCUCUCGUGGGCUUGGGCCUCUCAAAAAUUUCACUGGGCCAACAUCAAUUCUGGCAGCAGGAUAAAUCAUUAAGAAUGUAGCUACUUCGGUAGUGUUAUAGCUUUUUGGAAUACUGUUAGCCGGGUAUU